GGCAGUGUGGUGUAGUGGUUUGAGCAUUGGACUAAGACUAUGACUCUGGACACCAUGGUUCAAAUCCCUGCUAUGCCA